ACGGGAGGCAGCAGUGGGGAAUAUUGGGCAAUGGGGGAAACCCUGACCCAGCAACGCCGCGUGAAGGAAGAAGGCCUUCGGGUUGUAAACUUCUUUUACCAGGGACGAAUGAAAUGACGGUACCUGGAGAAAAAGCAACGGCUAACUACGUGCCAGCAGCCGCGGUAAUACGUAGGUUGCAAGCGUUGUCCGGAUUUACUGGGUGUAAAGGGCGUGUAGGCGGAGCUGCAAGUCAGAUGUGAAAUGCGGGGGCUCAACCCCUGAACUGCAUUUGGAACUGUCAAGCUAGAGUAUCGGAGAGGUAAGUGGAAUUCCUAGUGUAGCGGUGAAAUGCGUAGAUAUUAGGAGGAACACCAGUGGCGAAGGCGGCUUACUGGACGAUAACUGACGUUGAGGCUCGAAAGCGUGGGGAGCAAACAGGAUUAGAUACCCUGGUA
rnacentral:rRNA from 1 species